CUCUCUCCCUGGCAUCUCACCGCUGCGUCGGUGCAGAUCUGACUCAGGGGACUGGAGAAUCAAUCCUUCUGAAGAGGAAAGGUAUAAUCUUCUGGAUUUUCCACUCUCAUCUGUUUCUCUGAGGUUCCACACCCAGCAUGAAACGCAAUAUGGAGCUUAAACUCACCACGAUAUCAAGAGCUGAGUGAGAUCAAGGAUCAGAUUUUUUUCUCUGUGCAGUCAUCACAGAGCCUGCUCUGGAUCCUAUGCCCCUGUCUCUGCCCCACCCCCACAAGAUGUCUCUCUUUCUCUCUCUCAAAAUAAAUGAAUAAUCUUAAAAAAGUUAAAAGAAAGAAAUGCUCGUUCUAAAUCUCAACCAUGGAUGCUCUGCGAUGCACAGGUAUACAGCUUCCAAGUGGCCUUUCCCACAACAGCUCACUUCGGCCGUUGCCAUUGUUUCAAGUUCAGACCCUUUCCAACUCACUCCCAUGGCUUACUUUAAUAAAAACCAAAACAAAACAAAGAAAACAAAAGAUACCUCACCACAGUUGCCCCAACCUAUUUCCACUAAACCUAAAAUAUAUCUGCACCUUCCCUCCUACCCACCUCCUCAUUUCCCAACUCAAACCACAUUCUCUCCCCUGAAGCUAACCUCUAUAUCCAGCUCCUAUUUCCAUUCCCCCCUCCAUCUGCUAAGCUUUUCUGCACCAAGGUCCUCUAGGUUAAGGUCUAAGAGGUUCACAGACCACAAAGAGGCAAUUAAAAUACCAGAGCUAGGAGGUCCUCAAAGUGGUUUGCCCAGGUCUGGCACUUAACUCAUACCUGA